GUGUAAGUGUAAAAAUGAAGCAGAUGGUUUAACUUGUGGGAAUCUGAAGACGUGGGACCCAACACAGUGUUCAUGCAUUUGCAAACAGCCACUGUUCUGUUCUACAGGAGCACGUGUUCACCCUGUCUCUUGCAAGUGCAUUUCAAACAAAACAAUGAAAUAUGAAGACAUGGGAAGAGAUUCUGAGUAACUGAAACAUCUCUGUGUACACAUGGAAACUCUCGGUGUUUGCUUGUGGCCAUUUCUCCAUCUUAGUAUUAUCACUUGAGUCUUUAAAUGCAGAAAGUAUGAAAAUAUUCAUGUGCUUGUAAAUAAUAGGCAAGUACAGCUGUAAUUAUGGAAGAAAUUCUGAAAUUAGUAUUCAUUGUUAAUAUUGUGUUGGCAACCUUUCAUAAAAUGGAAGACUGGAGGAUUACUUCGUUUAAAGACUGUACUGCCUAUCACUACCAAAACAUUAAACAAAUCAGAUCAGAUAUAAAGAUUGACAACUAAAAUGACUACUGAUAUCUCUCUAAAUGCCAGUAAGAUCUGAUUAAAAAAUAUCCCAUUUGACCGGAGAUAAAAGUGUGACAAGGAAAGGUGCAGGGUGACUGAGUCACCGGCAAGGAGACAUAUUUCUUCUCUGUUUUGCUGACAAAGUGUGACUUAAAAACAAAUGUUUUGAAAUAUGCUGGUAGGACCUUUCUGUCUAUAAUGCAAAAAAAUGUCUGACUGAAAUAACCUCACGUCAACAUGGCUGGAGCACGAAGAAGAAGAGUAACUAAAUACCGAAUUUUUUUAAAUGUUUCCCACACUGAAACACAUAUUGAAAUAUGUAAGCGAAGUGGUGUUAUACAUGUCUAAACAUUUUAUUGUAUGUAAAACUAUGACUCAAAAUGUUUUAGUAUACUCAUCACAUGAUCCUUGUUAUGAAUGCUUGCACUUGUAUGUAGAAAUUUGUGUGUGCAUGUGAUGUAUGUUAAAUCAAUUAUGUAUGUUUACUUGCAUUCAGUAGGCGUGGGUUUCACCCUUCAAAGAUGCACUAAGUACUGCAGUGUUUCUGUCAGUGCUAUGCUAAAAUGUAAAUAACCCAUACACAAGUACCAAGAUGAAAUUAAAUGUAUAUUUUUUUCCCUGUG